GUGUGGUGUCUUUCCGAACUCCCUCAACCGUCCGAGCUUCCAUAAUGCCAUCCGGACUUUUCCAACCAUGAGCUUCUCCAUUCAUCCACCGAAUUGCUCCAAACACCCUCUGAACUCUACUAUCGAUCGAUUUUCUCUAAUGAUUGACUAUUCGCGAAAUCCCUUCCAGACUUCUUCUGGCCUCAGACGACUCUACUCCAAACUUCUUUCGAACUUUGUCAGUGUUCGACCUUCUCCGACAACGAGAUUUCUACAUCCAUCCAAGUUUCUACGGUGGUCGACCACCUUCCAGAUUCCAUCCG
rnacentral:lncRNA from 1 species